CGUCGGACAGAUACUGUACUCACACAGAAACGUAAAACGAAGACAUAUCAUAAAUUGUCACAGACAACUGGUCGUCGAGAGCGUCCCGGCUGAUCAUGUUUGCAUCAUUUGAUCUACAGCUGGCUUUCGUUGGGAAAGGAAUGAUUGCUGUAGCAGAAGGAAACGUGUGGGAAUGGAUUGACAUCGGCAGUCGGUCACGAAAUAGCGACAUCAUCUUUUGAAAGUCAUCUACGACUACGUACACUCUGUUGGUCUGUCUAGAAUAAAGGAAUUUCUUUAUGAUAGCAACAGACGAACUGCGAAGUAAGACGACAAAGGGUUCUCUCUUGAUGUGCCUCUCGUAGGUGACAGCGUAAAAGACUUCACCGUUAUGUAAGAUGCGAGACACUUCCUCUAGCUCUCCACAAU